rnacentral:lncRNA from 1 species
CACACAGCAAAGAAAAAAUAGAUUGUUCUUGCUGCCUCUGAAGCAGACUAUCAUUUAGUCUUGCCUUUGAAGAGAAAGCACAGAAAGGGUGUGCAUUCCAAGAGAAACCGUAAGCCAGGCCACAGGAGUAUGUGCUGCUCUAAUGAUAGAAGAAUUAGUCUUCAGCUAGAAGACCACAAUCUCUUCCAAGAAUGUCCCAUCAUUGCUCUGCCAUCUCAACCACCACUAUCCUUUUCACAGGCUUAUUUCUGCCAGACUGAUUGAGGCUGCAUGCACGUGGGAAGAGCUGCUGUGGCUCUACAUGGCUGUGCCGAAAGGCAUAUACAAGUUUGACAGACACAAAGAAAACUCCAUUCAGAAAGUGGCAAGAUGUUGAGACAAAGCCUUUCUCUCCCUGAGGCCAUCCCAUCACAGAAGAAAUUUAACUCAUUUUUCGCAAGAAUUCAAAAUGGAAAAUUUAUAUUAAUUCUUCUCCUUACAAUACAUUCUUACUGGUUAUCUCUCAGGUCGUCCCAAGUUGUGUGUUAUAAUUUUUCUGUCACAGACUGCCUCAAAUAUCCUACAUCUAGAGAUCAAGUAGCAUUUUAAGUACAAAUCAUGAGGUCUUAAUUCCACCAGGUGGUAAAUCUACUCAGAAAAUACAGGAAAGAAGCAUUGUCUGUUUAUUCAAGUUAUAGAAAGAACAGAGACUUUCCUUUCUAAGAGUCUUUUACAUUCCACUUCUGUAUUUGAACUUCUGAUGCCAUUCAGCCUAUUAAUUUGUCUUCUGUCCUGUGAAUGGUUGAAAAAUCUCUCUCCAAGGUGGUUCAAAAGUUUUCCAGUCAAUGGUGCUUCUUAGGUCUUUGGAAAAUAAUUU